rnacentral:rRNA from 1 species
GAUGAACGCUGGCGGCGUGCCUAAUACAUGCAAGUCGAACGAAACUUCUUUAUCACCGAGUGCUUGCACUCACCGAUAAAGAGUUGAGUGGCGAACGGGUGAGUAACACGUGGGCAACCUGCCCAAAAGAGGGGGAUAACACUUGGAAACAGGUGCUAAUCCCGCAUAACCAUAGUUACCGCAUGGUAACUAUGUAAAAUGUGGCUAUACUACUGCUUUUGGAUGGGCCCGCGGCGCAUUAGCUAGUUGGUAGGGUAAAGGCUUACCAAGGCAAUGAUGCGUAGCCGAAUUGAGAGGUUGAUCGGCCACAUUGGGACUGAGACACGGCCCAAACUCCUACGGGAGGCAGCAGUAGGGAAUCUUCCACAAUGGGCGAAAGCCUGAUGGAGCAACGCCGCGUGGGUGAAGAAGGUCUUCGGAUCGUAAAACCCUGUUGUUAGAGAAGAAAGUGCGUGAGAGUAACUGUUCACGUUUCGACGGUAUCUAACCAGAAAGCCACGGCUAACUACGUG